UACGUAGGUGGCAAGCGUUGUCCGGAUUACUGGGCGUAAAGGGCGUGCAGGCGGUUUGUUAAGUCUAGGGUGAAAGCUCCCGGCUCAACUGGGAGAGUCCUUGGAUACUGGCAGACUUGAGGAGGGUAGAGGAGAGUGGAAUUCCCGUGUAGUGGUGAUAUGCGUAGAUAUCGGGAGGAACACCAGUGGCGAAGGCGGCUCUCUGGGCCCUACCUGACGCUGAGACGCGAAAGCGUGGGGAGCGAACAGG
rnacentral:rRNA from 1 species